UUCUAUACGGCGAAACUGCGAAUGGCUCAUUAAAACAGUUAUAGUUUAUUUGGUGGUCAGCAAUUACAUGGAUAACCGUGGUAAUUCUAGAGCUAAUACAUGCGCCCAAACCCGACUUCGUGGAAGGGUUGUGUUUAUUAGAUACAGAACCAACCCAGGCUCCGCCUGGCCUUGAGGUGAUUCAUAAUAACCGAACGAAUCGCAUGGCUAUGCCGGCGAUAGACCAUUCAAGUUUCUGACCUAUCAGCUAUCGUCGGUAGGGUAUUGGCCUACCGUGGCAAUGACGGGUAACGGAGAAUUAGGGUUCGAUUCCGGAGAGGGAGCCUGAGAAACGGCUACCACAUCUAAGGAAGGCAGCAGGCGCGCAAAUUACCCAAUCCUGACGCAGGGAGGUAGUGACAAGAAAUAACAAUACAGGGCAUACAUGUCUUGUAAUUGGAAUGAGUAAACUUUAAAUCACUUUACGAGUAUCAAUUGGAGG
rnacentral:rRNA from 1 species